UACGUAGGGUGCGAGCGUUAAUCGGAAUUACUGGGCGUAAAGCGUGCGCAGGCGGCGCGUUAAGACAGGGGUGAAAGCCCCGAGCUUAACUUGGGAAUUGCGCUUGUGACUGGCGUGCUGGAGUGUGGCAGAGGGAGGUGGAAUUCCACGUGUAGCAGUGAAAUGCGUAGAGAUGUGGAGGAACACCGAUGGCGAAGGCAGCCUCCUGGGCCAGCACUGACGCUCAUGCACGAAAGCGUGGGGAGCAAACAGG
rnacentral:rRNA from 1 species